rnacentral:rRNA from 1 species
UACGAAGGGGGCUAGCGUUGCUCGGAAUCACUGGGCGUAAAGGGUGCGUAGGCGGGUCUGCAAGUCGGGUGUGAAAGCCCUCAGCUUAACUGAGGAAGUGCGCCCGAAACUGCAGAGCUUGAGUACCGGAGAGGAUGGUGGAAUUCCCGAAGUAGAGGUGAAAUUCGUAGAUAUCGGGAGGAACACCGGUGGCGAAGGCGACCAUCUGGACGGAUACUGACGCUGAGACGCGAAAGCGUGGGUAGCAAACAGG